UUUGGGAAGAUGGAACACGACAUGGGGAAGUUCAGGCUACUGGUGACAUGGACAGGAAAAGGGCUUGUGCUUAGGGAAAACAACUUUCAGCCAAAGAGAAAUAUCACAUAGAGAAAAGGCAAACAAAGCUAUAACGCGUUCCCAUUAAAAGUUGGCCUUGUCUCUUGAAAUUCAAAGUUGACUGAAUAGAACGUGCUUUCACCGUGAAUCUGUGCCGCGCAGACCUCAGAACGUAUGGAAGCUAUGGGAAAUAGGAUAAAGUGAAACCCAGGACCCACCUUUUGGAAACUUAAUUUUGAAGCUGAGUUGUUUUGAAGACAUGGCUGGGACAAGAUCUCGGAGAGAGACGGGACGCAGGAUCUUUCGCUUGCUGUGCGUUUUAAAGAUAAAUGGUAAAACUGAACUGGAAAUCCAUCUGGCCGGCUGCCUGUUCUAAUGAAUAACCCCACUUUGGCGCGUGCAAUGUAAGCAGAAAGUUCUCUCCCGGCCUCUUUCGUCUGUCAUGAAUCUACGGGACAGCCGACAUAAUAUCUGGACGACAACGGUGUGCUAACAGAACUUUCUCCCCUUUGGAAAAGCAUUCAUGUCAAGGAUGCCUGUGUGUUUACACUGGGUUCCUGGGAGAAGAUGCUCUAAAUUGUGCAGGCUGGCGGUCUGGUGAACAGGAGGAUAAAGGGACGCAAAGACUUGGCAAAAACCAUCUUUCUGAUCCUCUGGUGUCCUCUGGUACCUGUUUUCAAGCUUCAGCCAAGGACUUCCUCAUUGUUGCCAGUGGCUGUCAAAAAUCUAUAGGAAUAUGCAUUUUGCCAGUGUAUUUCAUUCUUCUGUGUUUCGUCUAGAAAUUCAAGCCUGACAUGCCUGUUGAGCCCUGGGGUACCUUAGAUAUCGAAAGACAUGGUAAGAAUCUGAAGGGAGAGGGCACAAAUUAUUCCAUUUAGGGCUAAUUUGCAAAUUCACUUUUGGGGAAAAGAGGUCUAUUUGAGGCUUUUUAAAACCCAGAGAAAAUUGGAAAGCAUGAGCUUCGCACCCCUCACCAUCUCCCUCUGCAUACACUUCCAGAACAAUUUCCAUUGUUGUUGCUUAAGGAAUACCUCUUUACCCUGUUACGUGGUCUUUUAGAAGCAUUUCACAGCCAGGGCUCCCCGCUCCCCAACCCUUCACAUUUUAAUUGGUUUUGAGGUUAUUUUCAAAUCUCUGGGCUUACUGAACAAGCAUUUUAGAAUCUCCUUCUGUGUAGACACUCAUUCCAUUCCAUUCUCCAUAAAGUUUCUAACCAAGAAUCCACAUAUUUAGAAAAAUAAAAAAUAGACCUCUA